rnacentral:lncRNA from 1 species
CCCGGGGCUCCGGCUCCCGGCGACCGCGGCGCGCUGCCUCCGCCGCCCGCUGCCAGCGGCGAGGACGGACGAGAAUUGGGGACUUGUUUGUUUGGGGUGGGGGUGGGGGGAGGAAAGAAAGAAAGGAAAGGAAAGGAAAAAGGAAAGGAGGGGGAGGGGGAGGGAGAGGCAACGCCGAGGAUCCCGAGAAUCUUGCACCAAACGCGCCCAACCUGGAGAGAGGGGGAAAAAUCCUUCCAGAAGAAUUUGCAGGCGUGGAUUGGGGUAAUUUUUUUUUUUUUUUUUUUUUUUGGCGAGAUGGCGUGGGGGGAUCGGAGUUAGAGGCGGGGGGGGGGGAGUUUCUUGGGGGAGGCAAAAAAAAGUUUUCUCUCCUCUGCAAAAGGCGGGCAGGGCGCCCUAAGUCCAAGGACAAUCCAUGGAAGUGUUCGCUUCUUCACAAGUUGUGCAAACGAUUUGUUAGUUCAUGAGCCUAAUUAGUGCGGGGAUCACAUAAACAGCUUCCUCCGAAGCCUGGUAAAUGGCUUGAUGAUUGGUCGCUAUUACUCGCCCUGAGGUGGAAGGGGGGAGACUCUUUAAAGUGCGUCAGAGGGAGGCAGGCGCCUGGGAACCCGGAGGCCUGGAUCCGGGCCGAGAGUGGAACGGACUCGGCGCCGCUGCCUCGGCUGUGCCUCCGGCGCCCGCCAGGCCGCCCGGCCUCUCCGCGCCCUCGUCCCGCGCUCCCGGCUCACUCGCUCCCGCGGCGCCCGCUGCAGCUUCUCCUCCGCCUCUUUCGCCGCCUCCUCUGCCUUCAGCUUCUUCUCUUCUUCCUCCUCCUCCUCUUCCUCCUUCUUCCUCUCCUCUUCUUCCUCCUCCUCUUUCCCCACCUCCUCUCCCUCAGCCACCGCCUCCUCCUCCACCGCCACCACUCCCUCCGGGGCACCCCGGUCCCUGCAGAGUCCCGGCCGGCGGCGCCUCGGCUGCAGCCCCCUGGAUCCUGAGCCUGCCGAGCCCGAGCUGGUAGGACAGACGGACAGACAGACACGCAGAUUCCUCGCGCCUAGCGCUCCGCCGCGGCCCCGGGUCAGGGGAGCUGGGAUCGCCCCCCGAGUACCGCGAGGGUGUUCGCUUGGCAAGAAACUCCUGAUUCAGAAACCCUUCCAGCAAGGAGAUAAGUUUUUCUCAGCAGCAAAUGACUACAAACACAUCUGCAUUGACAAGUCGAAACUUAUAUCCUUCUAUGGUCUUUCUGCUCUUUUGAAAAUGUUAAUAAAAACUUAAUGUGGAAAAAAAACAACUUUUUCCAAAUAUGUGUACCAACGAGCCCGAGGCAACUCAUACUUUCUUAUAAAAUAAAGUAGGUCACUCACAUCA